UACGAAGGGGGCAAGCGUUUGUUCGGAAUUACUGGGCGUAAAGGGCGCGCAGGCGGCUGAUACAAGUCAGAUGUGAAAGCCCCGGGCUCAACCUGGGAAUAGCAUUUGGGACUGGUCGGCUAGGAGUUCGGGAGAGGAGAGUGGAAUUCCCAGUGUAGAGGUGAAAUUCGUAGAUAUUGGGAAGAACACCGGUGGCGAAGGCGGCUCUCUGGGCCGAAAC
rnacentral:rRNA from 1 species